GAGGGAAACCGGGGGAACUGAAACAUCUAAGUACCCCGAGGAAAAGAAAUCAACCGAGAUUCCGAAAGUAGCGGCGAGCGAAAUUGGACUAGCCCUUAAGCUUUACACGCGUUAGACGAACGGUCUGGAAAGUCCGACGAUACAGGGUGAUAGUCCCGUAGUUGACGACGUGUGUUCAGUGAAAUCGAGUAGGGCGGGACACGUGAUAUCCUGUCUGAAUAUGGGGGGACCAUCCUCCAAGGCUAAAUACUACUGACUGACCGAUAGUGAACCAGUACCGU
rnacentral:rRNA from 1 species